rnacentral:lncRNA from 1 species
GAAUAAUAAAAGAAAAGUCCUUAGCGAGGAAUGACAGGGUUUAGGGUUUAGGGCUUUGUUUAGGGUUCAGGGUUCAGGGUUGUUUAGGGUUUAGGGUUUAGGGUUUAGGGUUUAGGGGUUUAGGGUGUAGGGUUUAGGGUUUUAGGGUUUAGGGUUUAGGGUUUAGGGUUUUAGGGUUUAGGUCUAGGGAUUAGGGUUAGGUCUAGGGUCUAGGGUUAGGGGUUAGGGUAGGUUAGGGUUAGGGGUAGGGGUUAGGGUUCAGGGUUAGGGUUCAGGGUCAGGGUUCAGGGUUCAGGGGUUUAGGGUUUAGGGGUUUUAGGGUUUUAGGGGUUUAGGAUGUUUGGGUUUAGGGUUUUAGGUUAGAGGUUUAGGUUUUAGGGUUUAGGGUUUGGGUUUAGGGUUAAGGGUUUAGGGUUAGCGGUUUAAAGGGGUUUAGGGUUAAGGGUUAAGGGUUAGGGUUAAGGGUUUAGGGUUUUAGGGGUUGUUAGGGUUUUAGGGUUAUAGGAGUUAUAGGGUUAUAGGGUAUAGGGUUAGGUUUAGGGUUAGGGUUUAGGGUUUAGGUUUUAGGGUUUAGGAGUUUAGGGUUUAGGGUUGUAGGUUAGGGUUAGGGUUUAGAGGUUUAGGGUUUAGGGUUUUAGGGUUUAGGUUUAGGGUUUAGGUUUAGGUUAGGUUGUUAGGUUUAGGGUUUAGAGAUGUUUAGGUUUGGUUAUAGGGUUUAGGGUUUAGGGUUUGGUUUAGGGUUUAGGGUUUAGGUUUAGGUUUAGGGUUAGGGUUUAGGAGGUUUAGGGUUAGAGUUUAGGGUUUAGGGGUUUAGGGUUUUAGGGUUUAGGUUUUAGGUUGUUAGGGUUUUAGGGUUUAGGUUUAGGGUUUAGGGUUUGGGUUUAGGGUUUAUGUACGGUUUUAGGGUUUUAGAGGUUUUAGAGGUUUUUAGGGUUUGGUUGGGUUUGGUUAGGUUUAGGGAGUUUAGGGUUUAGGGUUUAGGGUUUAGGUUUAGGGUUUAGGGUUUAGGGUUUAGGUUUGUUUAGUUGGUUUAGGUUUAGGGUUUAGGGUUUAGGUUAGGGGUUUUAAGGUGUUUAGGGUUUAGGGUUUAGGGUUUUAAGGGUUUAGGCGUUUAGGUUUAGGGUUUAGGGUUUAGGGUUUAGGGUUUAGGGUUUUAGGCGUUGUUAGGGUUUUAGGGUUUAGGUUUAGGAUUUAGGGUUUGGUUUAGGGUUUAGGGUUUAGGUUUAGCGUUUAGGGUUUAAGGGUUUAGUUAGGUUUGGGUUUAGGGUUUAGGUUUAGGGUUAUGGGUUUAGGGUUUAGGGUUUAGGUUUAGGGUUAGGGUUUGGUUAGGGUUUAGGGUUUAAAGGGUUUAGGUAGGGUUUAGGUUUAGGGUUAGGUGUUAGGUUUUAGGGUUUAGGGUUUGGGUUAGGGUUGGGUUUGAGGUUUAGGCGUUUAGGGUUUAGGUUUAGGUUUAGGUUUAGGGUUAGGGUUUAGGGUUUAGGGUUUGAGGUUUAGGGUUUAGUGGUUUUAGGUUUAGGGUUUAGGGUUUUAGGAGUUUUAAGGUCUUAGGGUUUUUAGGGUUUAGGUUUAGGGUGGUGGUUUAUAGGUUUUAGGGUUAGGGUUUAGGGUUUAGGAGUUUAGGUUUGAGGUUUAGGGUUUAGGGUUUAGGAUAGGGUUUAGGGUUUAGGUUUAGGUUUUAGGGUUUAGGUUAGUUUACGGGUUUAGGUUUAGGUUUAGGGUUAGAGGUAGGGUUUAGGGUUAGGGUUUAGGGUUAGGGUUUAGGGUUAGGGUUUAGGGUUCAGGGUUCAGGGUUCAGG